AUUGAACGCUGGCGGCAGGCUUAACACAUGCAAGUCGAGCGGAGAUGAGGUGCUUGCACCUUAUCUUAGCGGCGGACGGGUGAGUAAUGCUUAGGAAUCUGCCUAUUAGUGGGGGACAACAUUCCGAAAGGAAUGCUAAUACCGCAUACGUCCUACGGGAGAAAGCAGGGGAUCUUCGGACCUUGCGCUAAUAGAUGAGCCUAAGUCAGAUUAGCUAGUUGGUGGGGUAAAGGCCUACCAAGGCGACGAUCUGUAGCGGGUCUGAGAGGAUGAUCCGCCACACUGGGACUGAGACACGGCCCAGACUCCUACGGGAGGCAGCAGUGGGGAAUAUUGGACAAUGGGGGGAACCCUGAUCCAGCCAUGCCGCGUGUGUGAAGAAGGCCUUAUGGUUGUAAAGCACUUUAAGCGAGGAGGAGGCUACUGAGACUAAUACUCUUGGAUAGUGGACGUUACUCGCAGAAUAAGCACCGGCUAACUCUGCGCCAGCCGCCGCGGUAA
rnacentral:rRNA from 1 species